rnacentral:rRNA from 1 species
GACGAACGCUGGCGGCGUGCUUAACACAUGCAAGUCGAACGGAAAGGCCCUGCUUUUGUGGGGUGCUCGAGUGGCGAACGGGUGAGUAACACGUGAGUAACCUGCCCUUGACUUUGGGAUAACUUCAGGAAACUGGGGCUAAUACCGGAUAGGAGCUCCUGCUGCAUGGUGGGGGUUGGAAAGUUUCGGCGGUUGGGGAUGGACUCGCGGCUUAUCAGCUUGUUGGUGGGGUAGUGGCUUACCAAGGCUUUGACGGGUAGCCGGCCUGAGAGGGUGACCGGCCACAUUAGGACUGAGAUACGGACCAGACUCCUACGGGAGGCAGCAGUGGGGAAUAUUGCACAAUGGGCGGAAGCCUGAUGCAGCAACGCCGCGUACGGGAUGACGGCCUUCGGGUUGUAAACCGCUUUCGCCUGUGACGAAGCGUGAGUGACGGUAAUGGGUAAAGAAGCACCGGCUAACUACGUG